rnacentral:rRNA from 1 species
AUACGUAGGGGGCGAGCGUUGUCCGGAGUUACUGGGCGUAAAGGGCGUGUAGGCGGCCUGUUAAGUCAGGUGUGAAAUUCCGGGGCUUAACUCCGGAGCUGCGCUUGAAACUGGCAGGCUAGAGGGCAGGAGAGGGAAGUGGAAUUCCCGGUGUAGCGGUGGAAUGCGUAGAUAUCGGGAGGAACACCAGUGGCGAAGGCGGCUUCCUGGACUGUACCUGACGCUGAGGCGCGAAAGCUAGGGGAGCAAACAGGAUUAGAUACCCUGGUAGUCCUAGCCGUAAACGAUGAGUGCUAGGUGUGGGGGGUUAAAAUCCCUCCGUGCCGGAGUUAACACAAUAAGCACUCCGCCUGGGGAGUACGGCCGCAAGGCUAAA